rnacentral:rRNA from 1 species
UACAGAGGUCUCAAGCGUUUGUUCGGAUUCAUUGGGCGUAAAGGGUGCGUAGGCGGCGCGGUAAGUCGGGUGUGAAAUCUUGGAGCUUAACUCCGAAACUGCAUUCGAUACUGCCGUGCUUGAGGACUGGAGAGGAGACUGGAAUUUACGGUGUAGCGGUGAAAUGCGUAGAUAUCGUAAGGAAGACCAGUGGCGAAGGCGGGUCUCUGGACAGUUCCUGACACUGAGGCAACGAAGGCCAGGGGAGCAAACGGG